AAAGCAAUGUUGGCCCUGUGAUACAUGGUUGUGUACCUGUUGAUAAGGUGGCAGUAUGCACUGAUGGUUCAUUUUACAAAGCGCAUUUUAGUAUGCUUUUGUCUUAUCAUUAUAAAAAAAAUAGUCCCAAACAGCUGAAUUACUUAUGUGUUUAUAAAAUGGAUCAGUGCAUUGUCUCGCCAGUUCUAUUUUUACGGUAUGAACUGUCUUAAAAAUAAGAUUCUCUAAAACUGCUUCUGCUUUAUUGGCUGAUUUUAAAACUUACUUUAAAAUGUUAACAGAAUCUUUGGGAGGUGAAACAUUCUACACAUAGAAAAACACUGUUCCAAGUGCAAAAGCUCUAAAAACUCAAGAUCUGCACAAUUUUUGUCCACCUAUUGUAAAUCAUCAAUAUUGCCAGGAUUAGUCUUAUGCUGAAGUCUUAUGCUUUCUUUUGAGCUAUGUGUGUUUUCUUUAUCCCACCUCAGAUCUGUGGUCAGCUGUGGGCCAACCCUUCACUGUGUGGGUGCAGGGCUGCUGGGGGAAGGCUGGGAAUGUGGAAAGGGGCUUCACAGGCUCAUUCUACUGUGCACUGAAUCUUGAGCUGCCAUUUUUCAGAUGUGCCAGCCUCAUUCAUAUCUCCUGAAGACUUGGACUGUGCAUCUGGAAGAUUCGAGUUUUGUUUCCAUUUCUUUAUAUGUUUUUAAUACAAGAGAUAGGACAAAUGAUCUGCUUCAGUUUUCAAGUGCCUGUCUGACAGUUUGCCAGAAUUUAUUCCAGAGCUAUUACUGAAUAAAGAUGAGCAAGUCGUGUAACAGCAAAAUAGCUUAUGGGUGGGGAAUAGGCCCCUUAAAAUAAUUCAUUUAGCAAUCUGCACAUCUAUAUACUAUAUUCUGCAUUUAGAUUUUCCAUUCUGGAACACUGCUUUUUCACAGGGAGCUGUGCUGGCUCCUAUCAGCGCAAAGGAAAUAUCUGAACUGUCAUUUACAUUAUUCCUUUUUGUAUGUAGGGUUCUCAGAUUACUACUUUUUUGGUGCAUAACUGAUUCUCUCCACCUGUCACCUUGAUUAAAGAAUGCCUCUGAAAGAAAAGGCAUACUGUUUCAUAACUGUAUUUGCAUUUACAGCUAUGCAUUCAGGCAUGAACUUACCAGAAUAAGUACUGACAAGGAAAGAAAAACAGGAGGAAUGUGCUUUGGCAGGCUGGGAGAUGCUUUGUGGAGAAGGGGUCCUGAGCACAUUUAGCAAGGCCCAGCCCUUGCCAGGACUUUGUGCUGGCUUAGAGGUCUUAGUGGAAAAACGGUCCUACCGUGGCUCAGUGCGUAUUUCCACCACACUUGUACCCCACACUCUUUAUUCUGUCUGUUGGCUCCCUUUUCUGCCAGCGUAGAUGACAUGAAACAACUGCAGUUCUGGGGUCUUUCCGAAAUAAUUAAGUGGGUGGUCCAAGGUACUAAUCACAAGUAUUACAAGCUUUUUAAAAUCCCCUUCAGUUGCUGUGCGUUAUCUAGCGUAGAACUGACACCAUUGAGCCUAGACCUAGCUGAGUGCUGGCAGUGGGCGAGAUAAUCCCUGUCUGUGGGCUGGAAAGCAUUUGGGAUUCUUCUGGAUGAAAGGUGCUAUAUAAUGCAAGCUAUUAUCAUGAAGAACAGAAGAAGAAAUUGCAUAAGGUAGGUGGAAGGCAUUUGAUAAUGCAGAGGGAAAAAGAGAAAUGACAGUUCUUGCCCCACAGUGCUUUUGAUCCAAGGGUUCAAUCCUUCACACGCGUGCUCUGUUUUUACCAGGCAGUUAGUAGCGUUGCUUGAAGAGAGCAUUUUAGCCUGUAAGAUUACUUCUGAGCACAUUAUUGCAGGGGGAGAGACUAGUAAAGAAAUUACAAUGGCUACCACAAAGAAAAAAAAAGGAAAAAAAAGCGAAACUGUAGGUAGAAUGAGAGGAGCUUUCUUGGCACAGACCAAAUCUUUAUCCCUUAGCUGUGCUGUCUUUUCCACUUGGUCUUUUGGCAGAGCUGAGCAUUUCUUCACUUAGAAUAACAGACUUCUGCAAGCUGCAGUAUCUGAUGUGGUGCACUUGUUUCCUCAGCUCUGUAGCUGAUAACCUUUCCAGACUGUGCUUGUGCACUGUUCCAGGGUUUUGACUGCAGAGUAGAAACCCUUCAGCUUUCCUUUUCAGGCUAGUUUAUGGUCAUGGAUAAAAUAAAUCUUUUAAAAUUAUUUUUAAAUUAUUUUUAUUUCUAAAUCCAAAGCAUAGUUGGCUUAUUUAUGGGUCUGCUGGAAUGAGUUGUAAGGAAGAAUGUCUGAUCUUUACCUGAGUCUGUUGGCUAUUUCAAAAGUCAGAUGGGACUGAUGCAGUGUAGAGUAUGCAUGUAGACUGCUUUUCAUUGAUGUUUGAAAAAUGACCACCACAGUAAAUACCAAAUAUAAUGCAUUAAUGUUAUGCAUUAAUAUUAACUGUUGG
rnacentral:lncRNA from 1 species